rnacentral:lncRNA from 1 species
UAUGUUCUGUGAUAGAGUGAUAAUGUGGAAAUGAAUGAGGUGAAAAACAACUUGCUGAAGGUAAUUCUCAGACGGCUACUUGAAAAAUGUUAUAAAUGGUAGUAAACGUUGCAUUGGACAAUGGUUUCAACCUCUCUGCCCUAAUUGAUGAAUGGAGUCGCAGAUGAUCUGUUCAAUUUUUCUAGGACCCAAAUAAGGCUACCCCUGUUCAAAAAAAAAAAAAAAAAAAAAAAAAAAACGAGGCUACCCCUUUUACCCCAUACUUUAUACUCUAGUUAUGGAUAUAUUGAGCAAAAUGCCAUGCUAAUCUGGGUAGGCUACAAAGAUUGGUUGUUGGAAUGGGUUUGUGUAUCUAAUUAUUCCAUGUUACAGUGAUCUUAUCAACUUUUGCUGAAAACAAAAUGAUCCUAUGCACCUGAGACAUCACCGAUGUUGUUGUAUAGAUCAGUUUUUUCUUGCUUCAGAGGCAUAUUUGGGGCUUAAAGUCAACCUUGCUGAAGAUGAACUUAUCUCUAUGAGGGACCGCAUGGAUGAUCAGAUUCUUAAUGCUUAAUUGAUCGAGCACCAAGGCUGGUAAACUUAAAACAAUCCCUUGCGAGAGAGGGAUUCUAACACCUCUCAAGCAUUGAAAAGGUCUUGGGUAGUACGACAACUAAACCAAAAGUUCAAUUAAAAAUCAAGCAUCCUAAUCAUUACAAAAUUUGACCCAAAAAAAAAUCAUUACAAAAGAAACAUCAUUCGAGAAUCUGUUUUUUUGUGAAGAUAAUUUUUCUUCUUUCUUUCCAAGACAGGUAAACCUCCUCAAAUAAUUCAUUCUGAUGGCAAAUUGAUUCGAAUUCGGUGAAAUUGGAUUCCUUGGGUCUUUUAUAUCUCUUAACUUAAUACACUUUCCUUAUUGGACUUUUUGGACCUUUUUCCUUGUAAUCUGUUUUCUAAUUAAAAGAUAAAAUAUCUGAAGAGCGCAAUCUUAAACCAAGUUCUAUAUAUGGGCUGCCCCCUCCUUGGUGCACUCGUGUGAGGGUUUACUUCUUUAUGAAAAAAGAAAAAGAAAAAGGAAGAAACGUUCUAGUUGAUUCCAUUCCAUUCUUGCAGGCUGGGGAGAAGUUAUACAAAGCUCUGGCCAAAUGUAAACAAAUAUUUAGCAAUCAGCGCUUUAUUUGUGGCAAUAUACUAACCAAGACGGAUAUCCGGUUGUUCGUCACAAUCAUAAGAUUUGAUGAGGUAUGAUUGAUUCUCCAAUGCACUCUUUUUUUCGAUUUACUAAUGCAUACAAUACAGUACUUUCAUCAUUGAACAAUAAAUAUCAGAACUUUCAGGAUGCACCUAUGAAUCGUUUGGUUUGGAUUGGGAAAUAUUUAGAUUUUCUAUCGACAAAAAUAACCCUUUCUAUUGAAGAUAAUAUUGAAACACGAGAUGAAAGUCGGAGGAAAUCUUUCCAUAACAAGCAGAACAGCUUCCUCACCUAGGAAUUUUGCUGUUUCUGUUGAUCAAGUUGACACGAGGCUAUGGGGUAUGUGGUUUCACAGUCAAUGAACCAGUAUUGAAUAAAAGUAAGUACAUAUGCAGAAGUCACUGGUUGUGUUAGACGCUUAGAGAAAACCUUUCUAUUUUGAGCAGAACAGUUUCCUUACCUGGGAAUUUGUUGCUAUUUGUCUGUUGGUCAAGUUGACAUGAUGCUUUGGACUAUGUGGUUUUACAGUCGAUGAACUAGUAUUGAAUAAAAGUAAGUACAUGUGCUGAAGUCACUGUGGCAAAGUUUAGGUGGUGUAGCCGUGUCUCUUGGGGUCUCUGAUUCUUGAUGUAUGUGAGAGCUAUCAGCAUGCUCUCUGCAAUAAUUCUAUCAUCUAUAAGGCAGGCUUCAUUUGAUCUCUUUUUGCUGUUGAAGUGUGCUUGUGUUGGUCUUUCACACUGCAGAGACAAACGCCUUUUCCUUUCUUGUAGCUGGAGACUGGACCACUCUUACUGAUAUUGGAAUAGAGGGAGAGAGAGAGAGAGAGAGAGAGAGAGAGAGAGAGAGAGAAGGAAGGGGGAUCGUCUAUUAAGGGAUGAGGUAUGGUCUAUCUGAGUAGGGAAGAGGCAUGGAUAUAUGAUAGAAUACACAAUAGUGUUUAUAAGUGUGGGUUUGCUAAGCAACAGGUGCCUUACGAAGAGGUACUAUCUUCACAACUGUGAAUUGUCACUAGUGUUAUAUGUAAAAGAUUGCAACUAGUGUGCCUUUUAAUUAUUCUCGUUACAGUGGUAGAACAUCCCUCUUGUUUGAGGUUGACAACAUAUAGACUAGCAAAUGACAAGGUGGGACAUACUUCCCCUACUCUUCUAAUGACAUCCAUAGGAACGUCAAAUAUGUUCUAUGAAAGAGUGAUAAUGUGUAAAUGAAUGAGGUGAAAACAACUUGCUGAAGGUAAUUCUCAGACGGCUACUUGAAAAAUGUUAUAAAUGGUAGUAAACAUUGCAUUGGACAAUGGUUUCAACCUCUCUGCCCUAAUUGAUGAAUGGAGUCGCAGAUGAUCUGUUCAAUUUUUCUGGGACCCAAACAAGGCUACCCCUUUUACCCCAUACUUUUUACUCUAGUUAUGGAUGUAUCAAGCAAAAUGCCAUGCUAAUCCAGAUAGGCUGC